CUUGGCAGUAAAAUUUUAACCUAAACCUGAGACACAACGUUUAUGAUGUUACUUAAACUUAGUAAUAUGAAAUUAAACAUUCGGCGGUCAAUAUAAUAACUGUGAUGAAUUGGAUCGGCUGACUAUUAUCCUAAUCUUCAUUUCUUGAGAUUGAAGCCCUGAUUCUUCGUUGACUCGGCGACGACCUUUAAGGUGUUGAUUAACAGUUGAACUCGACAUUCCAACUGUUUCUGCUAAACAAUGGAAGUCUUCAAAAUAAAUAAAGGUGGCUUGACAUCACACGCAGAACUGGAAGCACUGUUGCUGACUGAUGUUGAAAAUCUAUUUUUCACACCGCAUUGUUCUUUCAUCAGGCUCCGAUGGUGAUGUUCGAAAUCUGCUCAAUCAACCCAA